rnacentral:misc_RNA from 1 species
GUACUCUCACACUCUCUGAUCCUUUGGAUUUGGGGAGCGGUGGACUUGGGUGCUUGCUGCUUUCCUUGUGGCUCACCUGAAAUGCGUUAGUGCAUCUCUUGAUUGGACAUAGUACGGCGUGAUAAGUGUCUUCGCCGGCGCCUCGAUAAGAGGGUGGCCAAUUGGGAGCACUGUGCUCUCAAACCGUCUUCGGACACUGUCUGACA